rnacentral:rRNA from 1 species
UACGGAGGGUGCGAGCGUUGUCCGGAAUCACUGGGCGUAAAGGGCGCGUAGGCGGCCUGGCAAGUCGAUGGUGAAAGCCCGAGGCUCAACUUCGGGUCGGCCACUGAUACUGCUGGGCUUGAGUCGACUAGAGGCAGAUGGAAUUCCGGGUGUAGCGGUGGAAUGCGUAGAUAUCGGGAGGAACACCUAUGGCGAAAGCAGGCUUCUGGGCCAUCUCUGACGCUGAGCUGCGAAAGCUAGGGGAGCAAACAGG